rnacentral:rRNA from 1 species
GCGGAGGAAAAGAAACUAACAAGGAUUCCCCUAGUAACUGCGAGUGAAGCGGGAAAAGCUCAAAUUUAAAAUCUGGCGGUCUUUGGCCGUCCGAGUUGUAGUCUGGAGAAGUGCUUUCCGCGCUGGACCGUGUAUAAGUCUCCUGGAACGGAGCGUCAUAGAGGGUGAGAAUCCCGUCUUUGACACGGACUACCAGUGCUCUGUGAUGCGCUCUCAAAGAGUCGAGUUGUUUGGGAAUGCAGCUCAAAAUGGGUGGUGAAUUCCAUCUAAAGCUAAAUAUUGGCGAGAGACCGAUAGCGAACAAGUACCGUGAGGGAAAGAUGAAAAGCACUUUGGAAAGAGAGUUAAACAGUACGUGAAAUUGCUGAAAGGGAAACGCUUGAAGUCAGUCGCGUCAGCCGGAAAUCAGCCUUGCUUCCGCUUGGUGUACUUUCUGGUUGACGGGCCAGCAUCGAUUUUGACCGUUGGAAAAAGGCAGAGGGAAUGUGGCACCUUCGGGUGUGUUAUAGCCCUCUGUUGCAUACAACGGUUGGGAUCGAGGAACUCAGCACGCCUUCAUGGUCGGGGUUCGCCCACGUUCGUGCUUAGGAUGCUGGCGUAAUGGCUUUAAACGACCCGUCUUGAAACACGGACCAAGGAGUCUAACAUGCCUGCGAGUGUUUGGGUGGAAAACCCGAGCGCGUAAUGAAAGUGAAAGUCGGGACCUCUGUCAUGGAGGGCACCGACGCCCGGACCUGAAGUUCUCUGACGGAUCCGCGGUGGAGCAUGUAUGUUGGGACCCGAAAGAUGGUGAACUAUGCCUGAAUAGGGUGAAGCCAGAGGAAACUCUGGUGGAGGCUCGUAGCGAUUCUGACGUGCAAAUCGAUCGUCAAAUUUGGGUAUAGGGGCGAAAGACUAAUCGAACCAUCUAGUAGCUGGUUCU